CGGCGAAGUGAAGCGGCAACAGCUCAAAUUUGAAAUCUGGCUCUCUUAGGGUCCGWGUUGUAAUUUGUAGAAGAUGCUUUGGGAACGGUACCGGUCUAAGUUCCUUGGAACAGGACGUCAUAGAGGGUGWGAAUCCCGUAUGCGACUGGUUGCCUGCCCCGUGUAAAGCUCUUUCGACGWGUCGAGUUGUUUGGGAAUGCAGCUCAAAAUGGGUGGUAAAUUUCAUCUAAAGCUAAAUAUUGGCCAGWGACCGAUAGCGCACAAGUAGAGUGAUCGAAAGAUGAAAAGCACUUUGGAAAGAGAGUUAAACAGUACGUGAAAUUGUUGAAAGGGAAGCGCUUGCAACCAGACUUGCACGCAGUUAAUCAUCUGGUGUUCUCACCGGUGCACUUGGCUGCGUUCAGGCCAGCAUCGGUUCAGGUGGUGGGAUAAAGGCCUUGGGAAUGUGGCUCCUCUCGGGGAGCGUUAUAGCCCUCGGUGCAAUGCCGCCUACCUGGACCGAGGACCGCGCUUCGGCUAGGAUGCUGGCGUAAUGGUUGUAAGCGACCCGUCUUGAAACACGGACCAAGGAGUCUAACAUCUAUGCGAGUGUUUGGGUGUCAAACCCAUACGCGUAAUGAAAGUGAACGGAGGUGAGAACCCUUAAGGGUGCAUCAUCGACCGAUCCUGAUGUCUUCGGAUGGAUUUGAGUAAGAGCAUAACUGUUGGGACCCGAAAGAUGGUGAACUAUGCCUGAAUAGGGUGAAGCCAGAGGAAACUCUGGUGGAGGCUCGCAGCGGUUCUGACGUGCAAAUCGAUCGUCAAAUUUGGGUAUAGGGGCGAAAGACUAAUCGAACCAUCAGCUACUAGGUGGUUAAGAGAUCCACGAGAAGUGCAGAUCUAGCUCUAUAGUGAGCAACAUUAUCAAAUUGCGGGGACCUCCUGUUAACAUUCAAUGCUACCGCCGUUCUGUCGAAAGUCGAGCUGGCACCAGGUCAAUAACCUCGGCUAGGGUAAUAAUGCAUUCUAUAUACGGAAAAUCCGCAGCAAAGUUCCUAAGGGCUUGUCCUAUGGAAACUGCUCACAGACUAAAUGAUAAUGGGUAUCGGUUAAUACGAUGCUUAAGAUAUAGUCGAUCCCCCGGGAGACCGGGUGGGGAAGCGACUUUACACGAGAGGUGUUUGUUCUAGUCCUAGGCUAAUUAGAGAGAUGACAAGAUAGCGUGGCCAAGUUGGGCAGUCUUAUUUAUCAAUCCUGAUAGUUUAGGUGUAGAAUUAGCCAAGGGACGCAGGUAAAGCUGC
rnacentral:rRNA from 1 species